UACGGAGGGUGCGAGCGUUAAUCGGAAUUACUGGGCGUAAAGGGUGCGUAGGUGGUUUGAUAAGUUAUCUGUGAAAUCCCUGGGCUUAACCUAGGCAGGUCAGAUAAGACUGUUGGACUCGAGUAUGGGAGAGGGUAGUGGAAUUUCCGGUGUAGCGGUGAAAUGCGUAGAGAUCGGAAGGAACACCAGUGGCGAAGGCGGCUACCUGGCCUAAUACUGACACUGAGGCACGAAAGCGUGGGGAGCAAACAGG
rnacentral:rRNA from 1 species